GACAGCCGAAUGUCAAUCCAAUUGACAUUUCGUCCUGUAAAAUUAAAAAAAACAUUAUAAAUAAUAAUCACAAAAUCCAAAAAAGUAGUUGUUUUAUUUUGCAAUUUUAAAAAAACGAAAAAAUUUCUGGUAAAUAAGUUCUCCAAUAUACCCUGAUCAUCUAUCAAUCUGUUAUAUAAGAAAAUGUUUAAACGUUUACCAACUAUUGCGCAUCGAAAAUGAAAAAUGGAUCUAAUCUGUGUAGCUAUUAGAAGAAAUAUUUUACCCAUCUCUGCAAGAAUUUUCGGCUUUAGAAGGACCUACGCAAGACUAGCUGAAGUAGGGCGACUCGAAAGUCCAAAGUUAGCUGGCAAAUAUGAUACAGGACAACUAAUUCUGCAUAAAGUCUUUGGAUAUAGAGGUGUCAUUUUAUUUCCAUGGCUAGCUAGAGUAUAUGAUAGAGACUUACCUCAGCAUAGAGAGGGAGAUGAAGAACCAGGAUCAGGAGUUGGCAAAGAAGUUAGAGGGAGAACACAUACUUUCUACCAAGUUCUUAUUGAUCAGCGUGAUUGCCCAUAUAUAAGAGCUCAAACGGAAGCAGUCACAUUUCUUGGCAACCAAGAUUCGUCCAGAAGCCUCUAUGCCAUACCGGGAUUAGAUUAUGUUGCUCAUGAAGAUAUAAUUCCUUAUGCAAGCGCUGAAAAAAUCCCUUUAAACCACGAGUUGUUCGAUAAGUUUUUAGCGCCAAAUCCCAAUAGAGAUCCACCAUUCGUGGCUCAAGAAACGUUGAAAGCAUGGCAGAAUAAAAACCAUCCAUGGUUAGAAUUGUCUGACGUACAUAAAGAAACUACCGAGAAUAUUAGGGUUACUGUUAUCCCGUUUUAUAUGGGAUGUAGAGAGAGUCAUGCCAAUUCUGUUUAUUGGUGGCGAUACUGUAUAAGACUAGAAAAUUUAGGAAAUCUCAGUGUGCAACUUAGGGAAAGACAUUGGAGAAUAUUUUCUCUGUCAGGUACUUUGGAAACAGUUAGAGGACGUGGGGUAGUCGGUCAAGAACCCGCUUUGACAAAAACGUUGCCGGCUUUUCAAUAUAGCAGCCACGUCAGUUUGCAAGCCCCAAGCGGUCACAUGUGGGGUACGUUUAGAAUGGAACGCGAAGAUGGUUAUACAUUCGACUGCAGAAUCCCUCCAUUUUCCCUGGAAAGCAAGCCCGAAGCGACGUCCAGCGUUCGCGGCCCGCCGCGACGUUCAGCAGUAACGACUGGUCGCGGCGAUUUUGGGAUUUGCUUGAAGCGUCCGCGUUUCUGUAGUAGUGAGAGCACACCCGCCAUAAUACAAGUGAAUUGUAUGAAUCCCGAAACGAAGAAGGUUAUUACAAGAUCCUUAUACAAAAUCACCUAAAUGACGACGAUGAAAAGUUUCGCAGCUUCUUCAGGCUUAAUAAGGAUCAAUUUAAUUUUCUGUUAGGCCUAGUUCAAAAUGAAUUAAAGAAGAAACCCACAAACAGAGUAAAAACUCCUAUUUCCCCAGAAGAAAAAUUGGCUCUGACACUAAGAUUCUUGGCUACUGGAGAGUCAUUUAGAACCCUGUCAUUUGCCUUCCGCAUUUCAUUCAGCUACAUCUCAGUUAUUAUUAGAGAAACACUGGAAGUUUUAUGUUCAACAUCGGUACCGAUUUUGUUGCGACCAUGUAGUAGUGAACACUUAAAGGAAAAAGCGUUGAAUUUAGGAAAAAAUGGCAUUUCCCCAACUGUGUUGCAGGAAUCGAUGGAAAACACAUUCGAAUUUUCCGCCCCAACAAUAGUGGCUCCCUAUUUUACAAUUACAAAGAUAAUUUUUCAAUAGUUCUGUUAGCAAUGGUCCAUGCAAACUGCAAAUUUCUGUUUGUUGAUGUUGGUGCUUACGGUAAAGAGGGAGACAGUUCCAUUUUUUCUAAUUCACCGAUGGGCAAUCAGGUGUAUUCAGGAAAUUUAUUUCCAAAUGAUGAAUUUCUACCUAAUACAAACAGGAAGCUAGCUUAUGUAGUAAUCGCCUAAUCGGAGAUGAAGCGUUUAGGUUACAUCGACAUUUAAUGAAACCAUACAGCAAGUUAUAGGCUAGAGGCGAUAAAAGAAAAACUAUUUACAACUACCGACUGUGUAGGGCCAGACGUAUCACUGAAAAUGCAUUUUGGUCUGUGCCAAGUCUUUCGCAUCUAUUAUACACCAAUAGCUGUUAAAGCAGAAGUAUGCGAUAAGUUGAUUAUGAUGACUUGUCUUCAUAAUCUAUUAAAAGAUGGAUUUUUGGAAAAAAACAAUAAAUCUUAUUACGGAUAUGAUUCAAAUAUUCCAUUGCCAAAGAACAUUACUCCAUUAACAGGAGGUGGAGGAUUUGCUAAUGCAACUGGUUUGGAAAUCAGAGAAAUGUUCGCAAAUUUCUUUAGCGAAGAAGGAGCAACAGAGUGGCAAAACGACAGAGUCUUGUGUCCAUAUUUUUGUAUUUUAAUCUUACACACAAUUUGAUAAUUAUUGAGCCAAUGUUUUGAAAAAUAUACAUACAUAUAAUAAAAGAUGUUUAUAGAUAAAAACAGUUUUGUGUUUUACUGUCAAUACUAACAAUUAUAUAGUGUCCACCAUAAUGUUCGCUACAUAUGGGAAAUUCGAGCAUUUGAUCAAGCAUAAUACAUUUUCCCAUAUCCUACAAGUAAAAAAAUGCCCAUAUGUAGCGAACAUUAUGGUGAACACUGUAUAAAAUACCAAUUGAAACAUUGGGAAAAAUUAAUCGACCUACUUGACCUAAUGCAACCCUACUAUUCACAAAACUUGAUUCAUCUAUAUGGAGCGGAAAACAAUGAAUUUAUUCUUAAAUACUUACGAUUCUUGGAUAAAGCUGCAGCAAUUUCUUUCCAUACAUUUUCCCAAAUUGGCUAAUCUUUAAAGUCUUUAUUUUCAUGGUUAUAAAUACAAGGAUAUUCACGUACUUGAUAAAACAAUAUUUCAUCUUCAGCAUCUGUGAAUUUUUUCGACAUUUUGUGUUAAUAUCUUCAGCUAAACUCUGCUUAUAUCAAACUGAUGUAUAGACGGCUAGGGUCUACGUUCGCAUACAAACUACAUUGUACGUGUUAUUAACUGCCAGACGUGGUGGCAAACCGCGAACGCUGGACGUCGCUAGGAAAUCACACCUUUAGCGGUUAAGCUGUCGUUAUUUUGUAAUGUUAUAAUGUAUGAAUGUAUUAUCUGCUGAAUAUAUUUAUUAUUAUUAUAUUAUCAUGAA
rnacentral:misc_RNA from 1 species